AUGCGGACUACCUGCACCUGGACAGAAAGACCCUAUGAAGCUUUACUGUUCCCUGGGAUUGGCUUUGGGCCUUUCCUGUGCAGCUUAGGUGGAAGGCGAAGGAGGCCCCUUUCAGGGGGGGCCGAGCCAUCAGUGAGAUACCACUCUGAAAGAGCUCGGAUUCUAACCUUGUGUCAGACCCGCGGGCCAAGGGACAGUCUCAAGUAG
rnacentral:rRNA from 1 species